UACAGAGGUCUCAAGCGUUGUUCGGAUUCAUUGGGCGUAAAGGGUGUGUAGGUGGCGCCGUAAGUCGGGUGUGAAAUUUCGGAGCUUAACUCCGAAACUGCAUUCGAUACUGCGGUGCUUGAGGACUGGAGAGGAGACUGGAAUUCAUGGUGUAGCAGUGAAAUGCGUAGAGAUCAUGAGGAAGACCAGUGGCGAAGGCGGGUCUCUGGACAGUUCCUGACACUGAGACGCGAAAGCGUGGGGAGCAAACAGG
rnacentral:rRNA from 1 species